ACUUCCAUUGGACCUCAUUCAUCAAUUUUUCUUCUUUGAACCUAAGUUAUUAUUUCUACUUGCUCUUCAUUAUUUAAAGAGGCAAGGAAUAAUAGCAUAAGCUGUGUGGUGAGAUUAUUGGAAUUUGGCAGACUGAUUAAGAUGAGCCACACGUGUCCUGUCCUGAGUGAUGUGUGCUGCUGAUGUCAGCAGGAGAAACCACUCUCCACAGGCAGUUUUGAAGGACCUCUCCUUUUGGGGGAGGAAGAAUAAAUGCUCCUGAGGAGAGCUCAGUCUCUUCAGGAGUGGUUUUCCCUUGUGGUGGUCUGAGCAGCAGGAGCAGACGAGUCCUGAGGGCCCUGGCUGCAAAGCUGUUUUUCCAUGAAGCUAUGGACCCCAGGUGAUCUAAAUAAAUGGACAAAGUGGAUAACCUGUUUGUUCGGCAGUGUCGAUAUCAUACCAGUGGACUUUGAGGAACAAGAUCCAUGCCAAGAAAUUAUGCAUGAUUUCUUUGGAAGACCUGUCUAUGAUCUGGAUGAUUUUAUGGCAUAAUUAAUUCUCACGCAGUGUUUUAUUACUGACUAAUUUAGCUUAAGG